UACGAAGGGGGCUAGCGUUGCUCGGAAUCACUGGGCGUAAAGGGCGCGUAGGCGGCCCUGGUAAGUCUGCGGUGAAAGCCCGGGGCUCAACCCCGGGUCGGCCGCGGGUACUGCCGGGCUGGAGUGCCGUAGGGGCAGGCGGAAUUCCGGGUGUAGCGGUGGAAUGCGUAGAGAUCCGGAAGAACACCGGUGGCGAAGGCGGCCUGCUGGGCGGCGACUGACGCUGAGGCGCGACAGCGUGGGGAGCAAACAGG
rnacentral:rRNA from 1 species